GUCAGAACACAAGCCUAGUGUCUCUUGUUUACAGUAGAGUUUUCCUACAGACUACGGGGCUAAAGAUGGAGACAAGUAUUUACCACCUACCUGUGCAAUCACCUGGCUGCUCCUCUUGGAUAAGAUAACAUCACACGAUAAACGAGGCCAACAAGAUGAUUCAACUGGAAAGGGAGAGAUGGUUUAAAGUCAUGAUUAAUGCUACCAUGUCCCUGGCUGCCUUACUUCCUCAGCUCAUCACUGGCCUCAAAGAUUAACUUCUUUUAAUUAGUUCAGGAAUUUAUUGAAGAGUAACUGAAGAGAACAUUUGGUAAUGGCAUUCAAGGUAGAACAAGAAAUGGGAACUUUGUUUCAGAGUCAGCUUAUCCCUGGCUCCAUGUGGGUAACACAGAGGUGUCCUGAGGACACAAGUUCUUUCUUCAGACUUCCAGCUCCAUGGAUCCCAUUGCUCACUUAUGUAGUGCCCACCAUUGUCCUUAUUUCGGUUCCAUGACCUGACCAUACCAUGUUCAUUCUACUGUGAUGCUUCCAUGCAUACUGGAUUCACAUCUCUACUG
rnacentral:lncRNA from 1 species